rnacentral:rRNA from 1 species
ACAGCAAUAUGAAGGUCAGGCUGAAGACCUUACCCGAUUAGCUGAGAGGUGGUGCAUGGCCGUCGUCAGUUCGUACUGUGAAGCAUCCUGUUAAGUCAGGCAACGAGCGAGACCCACGUCCACAGUUGCCAGCAUACCCUCCGGGGUGAUGGGUACACUGUGGAGACCGCCGCUGCUAAAGCGGAGGAAGGAGUGGGCAACGGUAGGUCAGUAUGCCCCGAAUCUCCCGGGCUACACGCGGGCUACAAUGGUUGGUACAAUGGGCAUCUACCCCGAAAGGGGAAGGAAAUCUCUUAAAGCCAAUCGUAGUUCGGAUUGAGGGCUGCAACUCGCCCUCAUGAAGCUGGAAUCCGUAGUAAUCGCGUUUCAACAGAACACGGUGAAUACGUCCCUGCUCCUU